rnacentral:tRNA from 2 species
GCCCGGAUAGCUCAGUCAGUAGAGCUUCAGACUUCUAGUCUGAGGGUCCAGGGUUCAAGUCCCUGUUUGGGCG